GAUGAACGCUGGCGGCGUGCCUAAUACAUGCAAGUCGAGCGAACAGACGAGGAGCUUGCUCCUCUGACGUUAGCGGCGGACGGGUGAGUAACACGUGGAUAACCUACCUAUAAGACUGGGAUAACUUCGGGAAACCGGAGCUAAUACCGGAUAAUAUAUUGAACCGCAUGAUUCAAUAGUGAAAGACGGUUUUGCUGUCACUUAUAGAUGGAUCCGCGCCGCAUUAGCUAGUUGGUAAGGUAACGGCUUACCAAGGCAACGAUGCGUAGCCGACCUGAGAGGGUGAUCGGCCACACUGGAACUGAGACACGGUCCAGACUCCUACGGGAGGCAGCAGUAGGGAAUCUUCCGCAAUGGGCGAAAGCCUGACGGAGCAACGCCGCGUGAGUGAUGAAGGUCUUCGGAUCGUAAAACUCUGUUAUUAGGGAAGAACAAAUGUGUAAGUAACUAUGCACGUCUUGACGGUACCUAAUCAGAAAGCCACGGCUAACUACGU
rnacentral:rRNA from 1 species